CUACGGGUGGCAGCAGUGGGGAAUAUUGCACAAUGGGCGCAAGCCUGAUGCAGCCAUGCCGCGUGUAUGAAGAAGGCCUUCGGGUUGUAAAGUACUUUCAGCGGGGAGGAAGGGAGUAAAGUUAAUACCUUUGCUCAUUGACGUUACCCGCAGAAGAGGCACCGGCUAACUCCGUGCCAGCAGCCGCGGUAAUACGGAGGGUGCAAGCGUGUAAUCGGAAUUACUGGGCGUAAAGCGCACGCAGGCGGUUUGUUAAGUUAGAUGUGAAAUCCCCGGGCUCAACCUGGGAACUGCAUCUGAUACUGGCAAGCUUGAGUCUCGUAGAGGGGGGUAGAAUUCCAGGUGUAGCGGUGAAAUGCGUAGAGAUCUGGAGGAAUACCGGUGGCGAAGGCGGCCCCCUGGACGAAGACUGACGCUCAGGUGCGAAAGCGUGGGGAGCAAACAGGAUUAGAUACCCCUGUAGUC
rnacentral:rRNA from 1 species